ensembl:lncRNA
AGGUGAGACGGUGUCACUGGUGGAUGUGGACAUUUCCCAGCGAGGACUCAGCUCCCCUCACCCUCCCACGCCGCCGCCGCCGCCACGCCGGAGCCUCAGCCUGCUCGGUACUGCCUGGGAAUGUCCUUGGGAAACUGGGAAUGGUCCUUGGAACCUGGGGAUUGUGCUUGGAACCUGGGAAUUGUCCUUGGAACCUGGGAAUUGUGCUUGGAACCUGGGAAUUGUGCUUGGGAACUGGGAAUUGUCCUUGGAACCCCGGGGAUUGUCCUUGGAACCCCAGGGAUUGUCCUUGGAACCCUGGGGAUUGUCCUUGGAACCCCGGGGAUUGUCCUUGGAACCUGGGGAUUGUCCUUGGGAACCUGGGAAUUGUCCUUGUAACCUGGGAAUUGUGCUUGGGAACCUGGGGAUUGUGCUUGGGAACCUGGGGAUUGUCCUUGGAACCUGGGGAUUGUCCUUGGAACCUGGGGAUUGUCCUUGGGAACCUGGGAAUUGUCCUUGGGAACCUGGGAAUUGUCCUUGGAACCCCGGGGAUUGUCCUUGGAACCCCGGGAAUUGUGCUUGGGAACCUGGGAAUUGUGCUUGGAACCUGGGAAUUGUCCUUGGAACCUGGGGAUUGUCCUUGGGAACCUGGGGAUUGUCCUUGGAACGCUGGGAAUUGUGCUUGGGAACCUGGGAAUUGUCCUUGGAACCCCGGGGAUUGUCCUUGGAACCCCAGGGAUUGUCCUUGGAACCCCGGGGAUUGUCCUUGGGAACUUGGGAAUUGUCCUUGGGAACUUGGGAAUUGUCCUUGGGAACUUGGGAUUGUCCUUGGAACCUGGGAAUUGUCCUUGGAAUGCUGGGGAUUGUCCUUGGAACCCCGGGGAUUGUGCUUGGAACCUGGGGAUUGUCCUUGGAACCCCAGGAAUUGUCCUUGGAACCCCAGGAAUUGUCCUUGGAACCCUGGGAAUUGUCCUUGGGAACCUGGGAAUUGUCCUUGGGAACCUGGGAAUUGUGCUUGGAACCUGAGAAUUGUGCUUGGAACCCUGGGGAUUGUCCUUGGGAACCUGGGAAUUGUGCUUGGGAACUUGGGAAUUGUCCUUGGAACACUGGGAAUUGUCCUUGGGAAACUGGGAAUUGUCCUUGGGAAACUGGGAAUUGUUCUUGGAACCUGGGAAUUGUCCUUGGAACGCUGGGAAUUGUGCUUGGGAACCUGGGGAUUGUGCUUGGGAACUUGGGAAUUGUCCUUGGAACGCUGGGGAAUGUCAUUGGGAAACUGGGAAUUGUCCUUGGAACCCCAGGAAUUGUCCUUGGAACACUGGGAAUUUCCCCCUGCUUUUUUUCCUAUCCUUGCUGCUUUUGGGGGAACUUUCCUCCUGUUUUUUGGGUCUUUCCCCUGCUUUUUUCCCAUUCCUGCUGAUUUUGGGUCUUUCCCCUGCUUUUUUCCCAUUCCUGCUGAUUUUGGGUCUUUCCCCUGCUUUUUUCCCAUUCCUGCUGAUUUUGGGUCUUUCCCCUGCUUUUUUCCCAUUCCUGCUCCUUUGGAGACUUUUCCAUCUCCCACCGUGGCUGGAUCCUUUCCCUGUUCCCGGAAAAUCGAGGCUGCUCCAGCAGGAUCCAGCCU